rnacentral:rRNA from 1 species
GAAGUGGAAUAGGCGGUGGUGCAGGACUCGGCGGGUAGAUACGGCGGCGGCGGCUGCCCAACCGAGGAGGAGGUGGGUACGCGGGGGAGGGUUAGAGGUAUCGGAGGUUGCUGGUUGAGGUAGAGGACGGAGGACGUUGAUCAGGACGGUCACGCGGCGCAGGCGGCGGCCACUUACGGAAGGCGUUCCUGACGGGGAUCGGGGAGACGGGGCCGCGAGGAGCCAGCAGGGGCAGGGAAACGGACCAGCGAUCCCUGCACGACGAGGUGCGGAGGAGGACGACCCUCGGCGGCGGCCGGCACGGCCGAGACCGCGAAACGAGGCCGGUUAGGGCCCGACGAGCGGACGAGCCGGCCUGGAACGGCGGGUCCUGAACGACAGUUGUUUAUCGUUCGUCCGACCCUGUCCCUUUUUCUUCUCCUUCUAUAUAAAGUAACGUUCAAAGUUGUGGGUCACAAAGUCAACCUGACUUAGUUGAGGUGUUUAACCUUGUUGGUAUCUAACCUGGUGGCGGAAACCGAAGUUUGUUGGGCGGAAGUUAGAGUUGAGCUCUUUCAUGGAGAAAACAUAGGGUAUGAGAAAAAAACUUCAAAAACCAUACAAAAAUAGAUAAAACAACAUAGUAAUUCUUAACUCAAAUUUAAGAUCUUUCUGUAUGUUAAACAGGUUUUCAUAGUUCGUAACCUACAUUUCACCUGUUGGAUAAGCCAUGACUUUGGUAUAUACAUCGUACAUACUUCGACUUAGUACGAAUGUUGUGACUUCUCGUGUCAUUGAAGGUAUUACCUUCAUUCAUCGACGUUAGAAGGUCCUAAAAAAUAUUUAUUUAGUCGUUGUACGGUGAGUGGAUUCAACUGAAAAGUCGUAUAGGAUGGUACGCGGUUACUCCGUUCACCAUCACAUAGGAUUUUUAGGGGAAAAGGACUUCCACAUUUGUGUACGUCGUUGACUAGCACACGUAACCUUACGUGACAAACUAUUAAUGAGAGAAUCCGGGACGAACGAUUGAAACAUUUUUAUACGCUGGCCGAUGGGAAGUUGUUGACGUUCAGUGAACCCCUGAUAAACCAAAGGUCGGUUUACAACGGUCUGGAUACCAAUCCGUGUGUAUUAAAGACUCCACUCACUCACAAGUCAACCGACUGUGUCAACACCGAACGCUGAAAUGAUCAGUGUACUAAUUCCUCAUAUAAAACCGGUGUGAAAACACCGUUCGGUGUGAGACAGGGCUCCCCAUUGUUAAUGAUGAAAACCGAAUCAACACCGUUUCAUUCGAAAAUUGGUUUGAUCCCACAAGUUAACCAGAAUUCAAAGUUAUGUCAUAACAUCUAGUAGUGUAUACAAGAGACAAAGAACAAGUUACUACAGAAUAAACUGAGCAAUUAGUCAGGUUGAAUUAUAGGAAAAAGGACAAUAGGAAUCUUGUUUAUCUAUACUGCACAUACGUCACGUCGGGUGAUUAAUAAAUCUAACGUAACGUUUGUGGGAAAAUAUGUACGAAAAGUAAAAAGUAAGUCCACCGACGUGUAUAGGAGGUCCAAAGACAUUAACCCUGCCUCACAUAAAGGUCAUACCACUAUUGACAUAUAUAUUAUUAUGACUGACACUAGUAACCGGAAAAAAUGGAAGACAACAUCGAACUAAAAACAUAUACCACGAAUGGACUCUACGUGUUCUAGUAGUUAUUGUACUACUAUAUUUCGUCCCUUUAAUUGUGUCAACAAAAAAUUUCGUGGGAUAAUAUACCAAAAAUACGAGUCAAACCUAUGAAUCUAUCAGGUUGUUAGAAUCAUCAAAACGUCUUCCUUUCUUCAGGGAUGUCGCUAAUCUUUCUCACUUAUAAAGAUCUAUUAACUUCCGGGAGGUAUAUAUUAUAGUUAGUACACAGGACAAAAUAUAAAAACAAACAAGUACACCACACACAAAGGAAAGCUACAUCGGUCUCAACCCUAAUACCCCUCUUUCUACCGUCGUAUACACGUUAACAUAACUUGACUCACCGCAGAAACGUAUGAUCAAUUUGGAUGUUACCGUGUAUAGAAAACUACAAAAAGUUAAGUUCCAACUACUUUAUAAAAUCCUAGGUUAGUAACUUAAUUUUAUAGAUACAUAAGGUACGAAAAGAACGUUUUUCUAAAUCUAGUCGAGAGUAGAGAAUUUAUUGUGUACAUUUCAAUAUGUGACUGUAUAAAAAAACAAAGUAAUGAAGCCGUAUAGUUUCCCGUUACCUAGCUCCAACCUACUCAGUUGGUUCUCGAUCACGAUGAAUCUUUCUACCACAGCUCGUUAAAGACAGAAAACGUAAGGUACUACAAGGCCGACCACUAUCUUAAGCAACAGGAACACAUUUAACGGCUUUAUUUCGAUACGUCUCAAUACUACCUCACUUUUGAGUGAACUCUACACUACCAUAAGAAGUUCCAAUGUGAUUCACCCAAACGGUAGCUCUCCUAAUGUCACUUGGUAGUAAACGUAAACGAGUACAUAGUCUAUUGUCACCGUUAGAUAGAUAAGGACCGUAGGGUUCCUUACAACAACCUCUUCCGUUGGUACCUUCCUACCUACUGUACGGUCCUGAGAAUUCACAACAGAAACGAUACCGAUUGUCAACACUUAGAAAUAGUUCUUGUAGACUACCACUUAAUCUACCGCAACUUAAACUCUUAUACCAUGGAUUAAGUCAACUCCUACUCUUACGUCUAUGAGUUUGUUCCUUCUUUGGAUUAUGUAUACGUUCGAAGAGUCUCCUACGUUUGUGCCUCAAUAUGGGACCUACAUUUAAUAAAAGAUUCAACAGUAAAGAGUAGUGGAACAUAGUGUACUUUACGAAUGUACCUACCAGUGUUCUUAGUAAACGUUGCGAUGAACCACAAAACAGACUACGUGAAGGUGUCCGUGUUGAUGGUUUCUUCAUGAUACUCCAUGUUUUUUAGUAGGCACCGAAUCCGGAACUGAUGCUCUUUUAAGUACUUACGGGGUUACUAACGUACGAAAAAGCUCCACUUGCUCGACUAGUUCUCAGAACGGUACACACAGAUUCGUAUUCUUCUUUGGUCGGUUCCACAACGCAAUGAAAGGAAACUAUGACUCAUAAGUUUCCUAGAAACGUUGUUCUUUUUGUAGUCUACUGUACGCAACCGUGCUACUCCCAGCAUGAUUUCUACCUUUCUAUGCCCUAGGUCGACUACCGCUCACAACCUUUCUAGAACUACGAUCUAUGGGGCCAAAACGACGACUAGGAGCAUUAGGCGCGGAACCGUAAAGCUCACUACCUAAAUUGGGAAAAUCCUCAUACUCAAGUUUUGUAUCAUGAACCGGUCACUACGAAUAGGGCAUGUUGGAUAGCGGAACCUAAACGUACUUUCUUUGUAGAGAUUAAAAUAGCUACUAGUAAGGACCUGGUCGAAGGGGACCCUUACUGUAACUAUAUAUAAACGUCGGUGACUAACUACUCGAGAAUGUCAAUACCCUACCACAUCUGUGUAAGCUGCGAAGGAGCGUCCUCUAUAAAGGUGAGUUCCGACGUGACAAUACCUGAAAUUUACUAAAAGGUCGUAAUCGAAUGGACAUGCCAACCUCGUGUUCACCAUUUAUACCCAAAGGUAGUACACCAGGAACAUGUUCUAGUAAAGCGGACUUAUUCUCAUACUUUGAAACAAUAUACCCAGUGGCAGCGACCAAUGGUGUCCCAGUACAUAAAGCUUUGGCUUCUUCCGUCCUUAAACUACCGUGAUUUCACUGUCUUAACCGUGGCUGUUGAUACUCACCAUCAAGUCGAAACUUUUCCAACGUUCCGUCUCACAAACACAAUCCGUUUUUUCCGUUACAUCGUUUCUUUCGUUUCCCGCCUUUCUUCCAGUUUUUGUCACUUUUUCUUUUACUUUACUUAGUUCUCGGCUUCGCAUUUUCCUUCCGUCCGUUGUUCUUCAGUUAAUUCUUGGUUCCAUUCGGACUCUUCUUCGGACUCCUAACCAAUUUUUUUAGUUAUAAAAAGUUGAACGGUAUAACCCUUGAAUUGUUCAAUUCCGUGUUAGAACUACAUUACGUGUAUCUUUUCUUACACAAACUAUUAAAUUAACCUUGCAACAACCUAUAACUAAGAUUUUGUUUCCUACCGGAAUUACGUGCCGAACUAAACCGUCUUUAACCACUUUUACCUUAAGCUGUAUUAGAAGUAGGACAACAUCUACUAUUACCUUUUUAUCAUAACGGACUACGUGGUAAAUGAUACAGAUCUUUUGUCGUUCUUUAUGAAACAAGUCACUACGUGUUAUAAUCCUGGAGGCUACCUAUACGUAGUUUAAAAAGAUCCGUACAGUUGUACUUUCUAACAUGUUAGAGUCCAGAGUUUUCAGUACUAACAGUACAAUAAGACCUUCUAUAAGAAGGAGAUCGUGAAGCUAGGACAAUGGGUGUGUUUCUCCAGUACCUUUAUCAAUAGCCCGACAGAUUAAAGAAGUUCUUUGAUACGAGCUUUCACAAUCUACAGAGACUCGAACUGCUUGAAGUUCUCUCAUAACACUACUGUGAAACGUUAUACCUCUCUUAAAAAGAAGGUAGUAAGAAAUGAUAGUACCACGUAGAUUACCACGUGAACCAACUUCUUCAAUUUGAACCACCAGGUCACGUGAUAGCCACCUACAUGGGGGAUCUCUCUAGUAAACAAGCCGACUUUCGUGAACAUGCGUUAUCUCGUAAAGGACUUCCAAGUUAACGACUUCCCAUAGAACGGGUUCUUACGAACUGGAAAACAAGUUCUAAAGAUCUUCCUUGAUGUACAAAAUGUUCUGGUAGUUCUUUGGGGUUAGGAAGUCUGUUCUAUUUUCUAAACAUGUACAAGGUAUCACGACCACUCGGUUAACCUUUCCAACAGGGUCAACCCGUCAAAUUAUCGGCCGAAGAAUAAGUUCGUGUGGCUAUACAGAACGCUGUAACACUACUCGAACGUCUAAAGGCGUUACUUAAACACCGGCUUCUCUUAUCGUUUGCUACACUGAGUCGAUUAAACUGUCUUCGACUAUGGUGAUUCAAUUAAUUACUUGUGAAACGACUGACCAACCUUGUUUUCCAAAAUGUCUCGCUACCUAGUUGAUAAUGUCUUUUCCAUUCUCGAAACCGACGUUUUGGGUUGUCUAUACCCCACGCGAUGUCACCGAUACAGUAGUUGCCGAAAUCCAAGGUGUGCUACUCAGUACUCAGUCACGUACAGUGUGUUUUAUCACCACAUCACUUGUAACGUCUUUUUACCACAAUCUAUAAUACCGUCUAAUUCACUGUAGAAACUUAACAGUAUGUUACUAAUGUUCCACCACAAGAAAUUAACACUAACCAUGCUACAGAUGGUGUUUCAACCGUAAGUUUGCCUACUCAAACCCAAGUGAGAACACUUGUUCAGAGCCUUUUAUGUGUGUCCUCUACUCGAUCUCCUACUAGGAAAACAUAAAAGGAGGGUUCACGUCGUCCAAAAGAUGCAAGUUCUGGGUUUUCGACUUGAUACCUUACAUCAUCACCUUCAGUCCGGAGCACUAGAAAAACUGUACCCACAACUGCUUAGUAGCCUACUUUGUCUAAUCUCGUAACACGAAAACCAAGUCCGACUUCAUACCACCUUCGAGAAACGACCACACCAAGAAACGUACGUUGAUGUUAAAAUCAAUACCAAAACCAUCGCCAAAUGUUCGUGUUUCAGUCUUACGAAAUAAUAUCAAACACCAACAUAAAAAAAAGCAUGAUUAAGUCCCGUGUCGGGUUCACAUGAACCAACACUUAAAAUUCAACUAAGACAUCUUAAAGACAAGGCCUUUAAUUCAUAGUGUAAACCAAAUAACUAAUAAGGGUGUACAACGUCAAUAGAGCAUAACAAUAUAAUGUACCGGCU